rnacentral:rRNA from 1 species
UACGUAGGUGGCAAGCGUUGUCCGGAUUUACUGGGCGUAAAGAGCGCGCAGGCGGUCGAAUAAGUCGAAUGUGAAAGCCCCCGGCUUAACUGGGGAGGGUCAUUCGAUACUGCUCGACUUGAAGGCAGGAGAGGGAAGUGGAAUUCCCGGUGUAGUGGUGAAAUGCGUAGAUAUCAGGAAGAACACCCGUGGCUAAGGCGGCUCUCUAGUACGGUACUGACGCUGAGACGCGAAAGCGUGGGGAGCGAACAGG